rnacentral:rRNA from 1 species
UGGGGAAUAUUGGACAAUGGGCGAAAGCCUGAUCCAGCCAUGCCGCGUGUGUGAAGAAGGUCUUCGGAUUGUAAAGCACUUUAAGUUGGGAGGAAGGGCAUUAACCUAAUACGUUAGUGUUUUGACGUUACCGACAGAAUAAGCACCGGCUAACUCUGUGCCAGCAGCCGCGGUAAUACAGAGGGUGCGAGAGUUAAUCGGAAUUACUGGGCGUAAAGCGCGCGUAGGUGGUUUGUUAAGUUGGAUGUGAAAUCCCCGGGCUCAACCUGGGAACUGCAUUCAAAACUGACUGACUAGAGUAUGGUAGAGGGUGGUGGAAUUUCCUGUGUAGCGGUGAAAUGCGUAGAUAUAGGAAGGAACACCAGUGGCGAAGGCGACCACCUGGACUAAUACUGACACUGAGGUGCGAAAGCGUGGGGAGCAAACA